UUUUUUACCAUACUUCCCUCUACCGUAUGCCUCAGCUUGCAGCCUGCCACCCCUACCAGUAUCCUUAUGCCCCUGUCUGUGGGUCUCUCUCACCCCACACACACACCAGGGGGAUAGGGGAAAAGCUUCAGCAAGCAGCCUACUACUGAGCCAGGAAAGAUCACCACUAUGUCUUAUUUUCGGGGUAUGGCUUAUAUUGCACAACUGCUUAGAAAUCCUGCUACGGCUUAUUUUAUGGAUCUCCUGAGUUGAGGAGGAGGAGGUGGAGACAUGAAUAGACUCUGACCAUCAUGGUCUCCUUCACUCUCCAUCUGAAAAGCCGACCUCACUAGAAUGUCUGCCAGCCUAAGAUGAAAUGAAGCACAUUCCUUCCAUUGGAACACCCAGAAUGUAUCCCAGGAAUCAAAGGACCGGAACGUGAAUUGAACAAGGCCACAUAUCAAUAAAUGCUACCGUUUCAUUGC